rnacentral:misc_RNA from 1 species
UUAUCAUGCGCCUUGCCUCAUUGGGGCGCUCCUCAGUGCGCCUCAGCUGUCCAGAGGCGCCUGGGGCUGCGCCUAGUGCGCCUGAGGCGCGCCUUUGAUAACAGUGCUUCUUGCUAAACAUAAGACUAUGUCUGUCUUAAGGUAGGUAAAGGAUCCUUUCCAAGCACUUGGACCCUAUUUUGAUCAUAUUUCAUAUUCAACCCAGC